rnacentral:rRNA from 1 species
AGCUGGUUCCCUCCGAAGUUUCCCUCAGGAUAGCUGGGACAAUAACGCAGUUUUAUUAGGUAAAGCGAAUGAUUAGAGGUAUCUGGGGUAACUUGCCCUGGACCUAUUCUCAAACUUUAAAUUGGUAAGAACCUUUGCCUUUCUUGAUUGAGGCAGAGGGGUCAAUGCGUGUCCCAAGUGGGCCAUUUUUGGUAAGCAGAACUGGCGAUGCGGGAUGAACCGAACGCGAGGUUAAGGUGCCGGAAUGUACGCUUAUCAGACACCACAAAA